GGAAAGAGCGACUGGACAGACCCACAGGGUGGCAGAAAAUGCCAGCAGCGCACGCCACGGACGGCGUGGAGGAGGAAGUCGGCACAGUGAUGGCUCCGGUAGGUGAGGUCUGAACUCCACUUGGAAACGGCCCUGAUGAACCCUGCACAGUGGGCGCAGAUGGUGGGAUGGAGGAGACAGGCCCUCGGGAGGGUGCUGUGCCCGCAGGCUCUGCAGGGGAUGGGGAGGACUCCCUUGUGAGUUGCUCUGUUUACACACUUUCUGGGGCUCGGUUCUAUGUCACUGUACCAAACUAUAAAAAAGGAAAGAAAAUGGGUUCACGAUACCCACGAGCAAUAAGACAAAUUGGAAAGAGGGAAAUUUUAAGGUGGCAGUGCGUCUCGCUCCUCCCUGGGUGUGAGGGGGUGUGGACCUUCCCUCGUGUGCCUGGGGGGUGCCAGGCCUUGCACCCUGCGCCCGAGGCCAGCACCUGGUCCCGCUCAAAGCCUCUGCCCUGGUGCCUGGGGCGCUGGGGUCCUCAGCCCCUCAGACGACUGCCCCGUGUGGCCUCUGCCCUCGUGCACCCACCUGCUGCUGUCCCGCCACCUGUGCCCCGCCUGCUUCCUGUCUGCUGGGCCAAAGCACGAGGACAUGGGCUAGCCGAGCAGACCCUGCCACGCCAUCCUCCAGUGAUCCCCACCCGUCCAGUGCCCGUGUCUCACACCCUCCACAGCACCAGAUGUCAGCAAACUGCCAGAUGGAACCCAGGGUGGGUCGUGUUGAGCAGGACCUUGCACUUGCAAAGUUUGGUACUUUGUAUAAUAGCGAUGCUGGUGCUGCCGCUGCUGCUGUUGCGGACCUCUCUGGGCCAGCCAAAGCCAGGCCUCUGACGACAGCCGGAGCUCGGGCGCUCAAGCGCCGCAGGACCACACGGCGGGCCCCGGCGGCAGCGCCCUCUUGCGCUCAGCCUAGUACGCCCUGACAUUCGUGCGGUCGCUCCCGUCUGAAGAGGCUGUUUUCUCUUCACUGAUGAGGAAACACCGGUGCUCUUCAAUGUCCCACCAUCCGCUUUGGGCGCCCCCGACAGGACUCCUGCCUCACACAGCCGCCGAAGGAGGCCCUGGCUCCUGUCCAUCUCGCGCGGACGCGUGGACUUCCCAGCCUCAGGCUCUAAGGAAUAAAUCUCUUAUUAUUCAGAGAACACCCAGCCCUGCUAUUUUGUAUGGCAGUAGGAACUAAGGUUUUAAUUUACUUUUCCUCAUGACAGAUGAUAUUGGAUGAGCGUUUUGUUUAUGCCUAGUGGCGUUUAUCUUCUUUUGGGAAAUACAUACCCGUUUCUUUUGCCGAUGUUUGGAUUUGGGUGUUUGACCUUUUAUUAUUGAGCUGCAGGGUACAAGUCCUUAGUAUUUACAGUGGGACUGUUUCUUCCCCUUACCAUCUAUUUUCUUCAUCCUUUUUUUUUCCCCCAGAUGAGUACAAGUGUUAAUUUUGAAGUCCAUUUAUCAGUUUUUAGAGUCUUUUUUUUUUUUUUUUUGGUGCCUGGGAAUCGAACUCCGGUCCUUGCGCUUGCACAGCAGGCGGCGAAACCACUGAGCUAAAUCCCCAGCCCUAGCAUCCAUGUGUUUUUGUAUUUUAAGAAAUCUGUGCCUACUGCAAAACUGAAAAAUUCAUUGUUUCCUUCUAGUCGUUUUACCAACGUGCAUGAGUUUGUGUUCCCUCUUCUGUGUUCUGUACGCGGUGCGAGGAGGGGAUUGAGCUUUUACACGCACCACACGCACACGCACAGAAUCUGCUGUGGUUGUGCCAGCACCAUUUGCUGGAGCCUUGUCAAAACUCGAUCGCGUUGUGCUUGCUUCGGCGGCACAUAUACUAAAACUCGAUCGCGUGGCUGGCAAUGUUUGCCAAGCUCAGCAGCCAGGUGUGCCGCGUCGUGGGGUCCGUCGCCCUGCCCGGGUGUGCGGAGGGCGGCAGGGCCACGUGAGCGCUG
rnacentral:lncRNA from 1 species